rnacentral:rRNA from 1 species
UGAGUUUGAUCAUGGCUCAGAUUGAACGCUGGCGGCAGGCCUAACACAUGCAAGUCGAGCGGAAACGAAGAGGUGCUUGCACCUCUGGCGUCGAGCGGCGGACGGGUGAGUAAUGCUUGGGAAUAUGCCUUAUGGUGGGGGACAACAGUUGGAAACGACUGCUAAUACCGCAUAAUGUCUACGGACCAAAGUGGGGGACCUUCGGGCCUCACGCCAUAAGAUUAGCCCAAGUGGGAUUAGCUAGUUGGUGAGGUAAUGGCUCACCAAGGCGACGAUCCCUAGCUGGUUUGAGAGGAUGAUCAGCCACACUGGGACUGAGACACGGCCCAGACUCCUACGGGAGGCAGCAGUGGGGAAUAUUGCACAAUGGGCGCAAGCCUGAUGCAGCCAUGCCGCGUGUGUGAAGAAGGCCUUCGGGUUGUAAAGCACUUUCAGUAAGGAGGAAAGGUUAAGUGUUAAUAGCACUUAGCUGUGACGUUACUUACAGAAGAAGCACCGGCUAACUCCGUGCCAGCAGCCGCGGUAAUACGGAGGGUGCGAGCGUUAAUCGGAAUUACUGGGCGUAAAGCGUACGCAGGCGGCUUGUUAAGCGAGAUGUGAAAGCCCCGGGCUCAACCU